ensembl:snRNA U6 U6 spliceosomal RNA
GUGCUCGCUUCAGCAGCACAUAUACUAAAACUGGAAUGAUACAGAGAAGAUUAGCAUGGCCCCUGCACAAGGAUGACACGCAAAUUCGUGAAGCCUUCCAUAUUUUU